rnacentral:rRNA from 1 species
GACGAACGCUGGCGGCGUGCUUAACACAUGCAAGUCGAACGGUGAAGCGCCUUCCUUUUUGGUGGGUGUGGUGGAGUGGCGAACGGGUGCGUAACACGUGAGUAACCUGCCCCCUUCUUCUGGUUAACCGCACGAAAGUGUGGCUAAUACGGGAUAUCCUGGGGCUGUCGCAUGGUGGGACUGUGAAGGCGAUUGUUGCGGUGGGGGCGGGGCUUGCGGCCUAUCAGCUUGUGGGUGCGGUGAUGGCCUACCAAGGCGGGGGCGGGUAGCCGGCCUGGGAGGGUAGACGGUCUGACUGGGACUGAGACACGGUCCAGACUGCUAUGGGAGGCAGCAGUGGAGAAGAGGGCACAGUGGGGGCAAGCCUGAUGCGGCGGCGCCGCGGGAGGGAUGGAGGCCUUCGGGUUGUGAACCUCUUUCGCUAGUGAAGCAGGCCUGCCUCGUUUGUGGGUGGGUUGACGGUAGCUGGAUAAGAAGCGCCGGCUAACUACGUG